CAGUUCGUGCCUCAAAAAGAAAAUCAAAAGGAGGAAGCAGAACAGUUACGUGUUCAUCAGCAUAUACGCCGCGACCCAGUCACCCAUCGUCAACACACACACACACACAUAUAUAUAUAUAUAUAUACGCAGACGUGGCGGUGACUGCGUGCUGCUUCGUCCAUCUUUCUCUCUCCCUCUGUUUGUGCGAGCUCAUCCUUGCGGCGAACACGUGCGGGUUUACACCCCCUAUUCUUCUCGUUUCCAGCGUCCCCUCGGUUUGCCGCGCUGUGUGGCUCCCUCGCUCCCUCUACGUGCUUGGACGUCUUAUCAUCUGUGUCGUUUUGUGACUUUGUUCUGCGGUUGCCGCUCGGUUUCUUGUGUGCUGCUGUAACUGUCUUCCACCCCUCUCCCCACCCUCACCUCUGCGUUCGUGUGUGUUUGUGUGCUUGUGCUGUUGCACUCAGUGCUGCUGCUGCCGCGUUCUUUCUGUGUCUCGCGCCUUGCUCUGACGUGGACAAACACACACACACACAUACACACAGUCCCCAUCUCAUCCCUCUUGCGGCCAUCAUCCCCGCGUGAAGCAGUGGGCUACAUACGGCACAGCAACGGUAGUUGGCGAUCGGAUCUACUAAAGCAAACCUGCUGGGUGGUACCGCCGCGCCUCCGCUUUCACUUGCACCAGGCCAGAUGUCCUCUGUGCACGCGUCACUAUCGGGCAGCGGUGCGCCGUCACUGCAGCACAUCACCGCUUCCGCUGGGAUCGCAAGCCCCCCAUAUAUCCACCACCACAUCGGUGGUAGCAGCGUCCAUGGCGACCAUCCCUCGCUGUUGUAUCCGCCUCUCACUCCUGAGCGAGAGGAGGCGCUGCGAUCGAAGGGCCGUCAGCUACUGGACGAGCACCGCCGUCAGGUGGCCGCGAACGGUUUGCCCUACACCGCAGAGGAGGUGGCCGCCCUGCAGGAGCGAGGAAGAGAGCUGCUGCGCUCCGCACGAGAGGCUGCUGCUGCGAACGGCGGGCACCAUGUACCGGCGCCGAUGCUGAGCGCUGCGGUUCGAAUAGCUGCAGAGACGCCGCACCAUUCCUCAUUGCAUAGUGACACCCCCGAUGUGAGCGCCGGCGGUGACAAGAGUGGUGCAGCGCAAUCUUCUUCAGCACCGACGCAGCUCCCACACACAAGCGCAGCUAUGCCGUAUCUACCGACUGCAAAGCCGGGAGCCACUGCGGAGGGAGAGACGCCGCCAGCAUUUGACAGCUCAGCCUCCAUAGGCGCGACGGCAAUACCGUCGUCGUCUUCGUCCUCGCAGCUUCAGGACUUCCUCGCAGCGGUUCAGAGCCCUCAGUGCGUGGCCGAGGAGCAGCAAGCGCAGCUUCACGCACUGAGAUCGUCUUCUCGCGUCGCGGGAGAGGAGUCGUUCACCAAGAGCGAGGUGGAUGCUUUAAGGCAGACGUUAAUUCAGCAGUUUAACGAGCACAUGGCCCAGUGCGAGCAGGCGAAUCAGGUGUACUGGACGCAGGUCACCAGCCAUCACCGAAACGAGGUCUCUGCUUUGGAGCAGGAGUGCGCCGCGUACAAGCGCCGUGCCGAAAAGGCCGAGGCUGCCGCACAGGCUCAGCAGCUGCAGCGGGAUGUGGAAGAGAAGGCGAGCGUCAGUGCCGCUGAUGCCCUCCGACUCGAUGUCAACCGCCUCGAGGCGGAGCUGCGACUUGCUCGCCAGCAAAGUGCCGAGGCCCAGGCGGCCAAAGACGCUGCAGAAGCUGAGGCUGCUAUCCUCAGGGAAACUGUGCAAGAGCAGCGUGGCAGGCUGACCGAACUCGAGCAGCAGGUUUUCUCUUCAACCGCUCAGCUGCAGGAUGCACGAGACGACGCUGAGCAUGCCGCCCACACCGCCGAGGCCGAGUUAAAUGCGGCUCGCCUCCAGAUUGCCCACCUUCAGGCGGAGCUGGAUGCGGCCAAUGCUGAGCUGCAGGCUACCCGCGAGAGUGCCGCUGCUGCGCGGCCCACACGCGGUGACGGGAACCCGUUCGCCGACGCCGAGGACCCGUUCGGCGGCUCGUCGCGCGUCGCUGCACCGUGUGCGGACGACGGGGCGCUGGAUGCUGCCCGCCAGAGGAUCGCGGAGCUGGAGGCGGCCAAUGCUGAGCUGCAGGCUACCCGCGAGAGUGCCGCUGCUGCGCGGCCCACACGCGGUGACGGGAACCCGUUCGCCGACGCCGAGGACCCGUUCGGCGGCUCGUCGCGCGUCGCUGCACCGUGUGCGGACGACGGGGCGCUGGAUGCUGCCCGCCAGAGGAUCGCGGAGCUGGAGGCGGAGCUGGAUGCGGCCAAUGCUGAGCUGCAGGCUACCCGCGAGAGUGCCGCUGCUGCGCGGCCCACACGCGGUGACGGGAACCCGUUCGCCGACGCCGAGGACCCGUUCGGCGGCUCGUCGCGCGUCGCUGCACCGUGUGCGGACGACGGGGCGCUGGAUGCUGCCCGCCAGAGGAUCGCGGAGCUGGAGGCGGAGCUGGAUGCGGCCAAUGCUGAGCUGCAGGCUACCCGCGAGAGUGCCGCUGCUGCGCGGCCCACACGCGGUGACGGGAACCCGUUCGCCGACGCCGAGGACCCGUUCGGCGGCUCGUCGCGCGUCGCUGCACCGUGUGCGGACGACGGGGCGCUGGAUGCUGCCCGCCAGAGGAUCGCGGAGCUGGAGGCGGCCAAUGCUGAGCUGCAGGCUACCCGCGAGAGUGCCGCUGCUGCGCGGCCCACACGCGGUGACGGGAACCCGUUCGCCGACGCCGAGGACCCGUUCGGCGGCUCGUCGCGCGUCGCUGCACCGUGUGCGGACGACGGGGCGCUGGAUGCUGCCCGCCAGAGGAUCGCGGAGCUGGAGGCGGAGCUGGAUGCGGCCAAUGCUGAGCUGCAGGCUACCCGCGAGAGUGCCGCUGCUGCGCGGCCCACACGCGGUGACGGGAACCCGUUCGCCGACGCCGAGGACCCGUUCGGCGGCUCGUCGCGCGUCGCUGCACCGUGUGCGGACGACGGGGCGCUGGAUGCUGCCCGCCAGAGGAUCGCGGAGCUGGAGGCGGCCAAUGCUGAGCUGCAGGCUACCCGCGAGAGUGCCGCUGCUGCGCGGCCCACACGCGGUGACGGGAACCCGUUCGCCGACGCCGAGGACCCGUUCGGCGGCUCGUCGCGCGUCGCUGCACCGUGUGCGGACGACGGGGCGCUGGAUGCUGCCCGCCAGAGGAUCGCGGAGCUGGAGGCGGAGCUGGAUGCGGCCAAUGCUGAGCUGCAGGCUACCCGCGAGAGUGCCGCUGCUGCGCGGCCCACACGCGGUGACGGGAACCCGUUCGCCGACGCCGAGGACCCGUUCGGCGGCUCGUCGCGCGUCGCUGCACCGUGUGCGGACGACGGGGCGCUGGAUGCUGCCCGCCAGAGGAUCGCGGAGCUGGAGGCGGAGCUGGAUGCGGCCAAUGCUGAGCUGCAGGCUACCCGCGAGAGUGCCGCUGCUGCGCGGCCCACACGCGGUGACGGGAACCCGUUCGCCGACGCCGAGGACCCGUUCGGCGGCUCGUCGCGCGUCGCUGCACCGUGUGCGGACGACGGGGCGCUGGAUGCUGCCCGCCAGAGGAUCGCGGAGCUGGAGGCGGCCAAUGCUGAGCUGCAGGCUACCCGCGAGAGUGCCGCUGCUGCGCGGCCCACACGCGGUGACGGGAACCCGUUCGCCGACGCCGAGGACCCGUUCGGCGGCUCGUCGCGCGUCGCUGCACCGUGUGCGGACGACGGGGCGCUGGAUGCUGCCCGCCAGAGGAUCGCGGAGCUGGAGGCGGAGCUGGAUGCGGCCAAUGCUGAGCUGCAGGCUACCCGCGAGAGUGCCGCUGCUGCGCGGCCCACACGCGGUGACGGGAACCCGUUCGCCGACGCCGAGGACCCGUUCGGCGGCUCGUCGCGCGUCGCUGCACCGUGUGCGGACGACGGGGCGCUGGAUGCUGCCCGCCAGAGGAUCGCGGAGCUGGAGGCGGAGCUGGAUGCGGCCAAUGCUGAGCUGCAGGCUACCCGCGAGAGUGCCGCUGCUGCGCGGCCCACACGCGGUGACGGGAACCCGUUCGCCGACGCCGAGGACCCGUUCGGCGGCUCGUCGCGCGUCGCUGCACCGUGUGCGGACGACGGGGCGCUGGAUGCUGCCCGCCAGAGGAUCGCGGAGCUGGAGGCGGAGCUGGAUGCGGCCAAUGCUGAGCUGCAGGCUACCCGCGAGAGUGCCGCUGCUGCGCGGCCCACACGCGGUGACGGGAACCCGUUCGCCGACGCCGAGGACCCGUUCGGCGGCUCGUCGCGCGUCGCUGCACCGUGUGCGGACGACGGGGCGCUGGAUGCUGCCCGCCAGAGGAUCGCGGAGCUGGAGGCGGAGCUGGAUGCGGCCAAUGCUGAGCUGCAGGCUACCCGCGAGAGUGCCGCUGCUGCGCGGCCCACACGCGGUGACGGGAACCCGUUCGCCGACGCCGAGGACCCGUUCGGCGGCUCGUCGCGCGUCGCUGCACCGUGUGCGGACGACGGGGCGCUGGAUGCUGCCCGCCAGAGGAUCGCGGAGCUGGAGGCGGCCAAUGCUGAGCUGCAGGCUACCCGCGAGAGUGCCGCUGCUGCGCGGCCCACACGCGGUGACGGGAACCCGUUCGCCGACGCCGAGGACCCGUUCGGCGGCUCGUCGCGCGUCGCUGCACCGUGUGCGGACGACGGGGCGCUGGAUGCUGCCCGCCAGAGGAUCGCGGAGCUGGAGGCGGAGCUGGAUGCGGCCAAUGCUGAGCUGCAGGCUACCCGCGAGAGUGCCGCUGCUGCGCGGCCCACACGCGGUGACGGGAACCCGUUCGCCGACGCCGAGGACCCGUUCGGCGGCUCGUCGCGCGUCGCUGCACCGUGUGCGGACGACGGGGCGCUGGAUGCUGCCCGCCAGAGGAUCGCGGAGCUGGAGGCGGAGCUGGAUGCGGCCAAUGCUGAGCUGCAGGCUACCCGCGAGAGUGCCGCUGCUGCGCGGCCCACACGCGGUGACGGGAACCCGUUCGCCGACGCCGAGGACCCGUUCGGCGGCUCGUCGCGCGUCGCUGCACCGUGUGCGGACGACGGGGCGCUGGAUGCUGCCCGCCAGAGGAUCGCGGAGCUGGAGGCGGCCAAUGCUGAGCUGCAGGCUACCCGCGAGAGUGCCGCUGCUGCGCGGCCCACACGCGGUGACGGGAACCCGUUCGCCGACGCCGAGGACCCGUUCGGCGGCUCGUCGCGCGUCGCUGCACCGUGUGCGGACGACGGGGCGCUGGAUGCUGCCCGCCAGAGGAUCGCGGAGCUGGAGGCGGAGCUGGAUGCGGCCAAUGCUGAGCUGCAGGCUACCCGCGAGAGUGCCGCGGCAGCUCAGCAUGCUAGUGAUAGGGAUCUGGAAGCGGCGCGGCAAUCUUUGGCGGACCUCGAGGACGCACUUGCGGAGGCUGCGGGAGACCUGGAGCGACUGCAGGAGGACGUCGAUGAGAAGUCGCGUCUCAUUCAAGCCCUGCGCGCUGGGGAGGCCGCAUUGGGUUCCUUACGGGUGGAUGCAACCUGCAGCGGGAGCGGCAGCGGAUGGGCCAUCACGCACUCGUCGGCGGGUGUGCACGGCGGAGCAAAGGACACUGUAACGGGUACUUCGGCGGAGACGGUGCACGUCCUGCGUGGGCGCGUGGCUGACCUGACGCAUGAGCUGGAAAGGAUGCGUCGCCAGCAAGAGCAGGCGUUGGUGUCAGCCGUGGUGCCGGCAAUGGAAGCGCUGGGCGGGCAAUACGUCGAGGGUGAGCAUCGGCUGGCCCUUUUUGAGGAGGCGAAUUCCGCGGUGGACGACGAAGCAGCGCAACGGCGCGGCCAGGUUCCAGGUGUGCCGGGCGAAUGGAAGUCUGAGGAAGACCGGAGAGGGGCAGAGAGCGGCGAGCAGACGACGCGUCCACUUGACGGUACCACUCGCACGACGGCUAUUGCGACCGCCUCAGCCAGUCUCACGAAUCCGUUCUACUCGUCGACCGACGGGGACGAGGCGGCGGAUGGGAUGAUGCUCUCGCCCGUACCACGGCCUCCCGCGGGCACAUUCAUGAAGGUGCUGCGUUCGCCGGGGAACCUCAAAGGCAGCGAUGUCUUCGCCGCCACGGAGAGCGCGAGACGGGUCGCCCUGCGUGGCAUGCAACCAUCGGCGGUAGCCGCUGAGAUGUCGGCAGCGGCGGAGAUAGGGAUUUGGGAGGAAGACGAUGGCGAGGACUGCCGCAACACCCCGGACACACUGGCGUCCUUCCACAUGAGCCGCGAUGGCCAGGCUGCUCGGGGCGACGAUGCGUUCCGAGGAAGCGACAGCCGCAAAGAUGGCGGCGCCGAGGCGGAGGAUAUGGGUUGCCGGCGGGCUGCAUCGUCUCGCACUCUGGCGCCCGCCAUCAACGAGGACCCCGAAACCCCUCGAGCCUUGUCAGCUGUAAGUGAAAAGAAUGCCGACUUCAACGACCUACGCCGUUGCUCGCGCGACGUUAAUGUCGACAGCGAUGAGGAUGACAGCACGGAGGAGUGCGACGUUUCGGUCAGCACGCGUGUGGCAGCCUCGUAUGGGCGGCAAGCGGCCCACAGCACUGCCAUGGAAGGCAAGGUGGAUGACAGUGGCGCCGCGAUGCAGAAGUUGGGCCGGCAGUACGCUGACGCACAGCACCGCCUCUAUCUCUCGGAGGAGGCGCGGCAGAGCCUCGAGGCGGAGGUGUCGGAGCUGCGGAAGAUGGUGGAGGAGCUGCAGGCAGUGUUGGCUUGUCAGCCCCGGCAGACGUCGGCUGCGGCACCCACAGACGGCUACGCUGGCGACGAAGCAGACGUGCGCACCAUAACGACCUCCUUCGCUUCCUCGGUGCCCACGGCAGCGCGAGAGCGGCUCACCAAGGAAGAGGGUUACGACGCGAACGCGUCUUCGCCAAGGACUCCUUCACCACGCUCUGGCGACGAUGAUACGGAGAGCGGCAGCCUUGGCUCUGCUCACUUCAGCGAGCACGGCGUGUCCGUGACAACAACAGCAGCGCCAGCUCACGACGACGAUCCCACUAGCUGUCAGUACCCCUUAGCAACUGCUGCGUCGGAGGACACCGCUGCCCUCUACGAGCGCAUCGCGGAGCUGGAGGAGCGGCUGAAAGACAUCGAGGCUCAACACGAGGAGGAGCUGGAGUCUCUCGCUGAGGCCGCGGCUGAACGCAUCGCUGCAAUGGAACAGCGGUAUGCAGAAAACUUGGCGGCGACUGAGAAAGCUGCAGCAGCUGCGGAGGUGGAGCGUCAGGGUGAGCAGGAUACCACCGUGUCACUGCUGGCGCGAGUGACGCAGCUGACAGAAGCGCUCACAGAUGCCCAGGCUGCUCAUGCGGCGGAGCUGCAGAGGUUGCAAGACGAACACGAGGACCUGCUGCGGCAGCGUCUCAGCGAGCAGGAGGACUCUUUUGGAGCUGUCGUCCGCCAACUAAAUCAGGGGCAUCAGGGUCAUCUGUGGGCUCUCGCCUCUUCUGCGGAGACAGGCGGUGCUGGUGCGGCAGAGUCGUCGCUGUCGCCGCAGGAGAACGUGCAGUACUGGAAAGGUCAGCACGCCACGCUUCUCAAGCGCUUCGAGCAGCUGCAGAACGAGUACGACGCGUUCGCGCAGGACAUCGCCGCGCUGCAGCGCCGCCUCUCCGAACAGGAAGCAACGCGACAGGAGCAGGAGCAGGAGCAGAGCAGGAUGAUGCGUGACGCCACCUCGCAGCAAUUCACCACACUUCACCAGCGUCUCGAAGAGAUGAGCAAAGUUGUUGAUGCGGCGCAGGCCGACGCGCAGGCUUCCUCCAAAAAACUCCACUACCUCACGGCGCGUCACACUGAGAACGAAGCCGCGCUGCAGGCUGAGAUGAACGGCUUGCGUUCCCAACUGCAGUCUGCACGUGAUGAGCUGGCGCGCGUCAACAACCUCAACGAAGAGCUAUCGGAGCUGCUACAGCAGGGGGCUAACAGCGUCGACACGGUGCUGCGAGAGCGGGACGCGCAGAACGCAGCGCUAGAGCAGCAAGUGCAGCAGCUGAAACUGCAGCUCGCCGCGGCAGGCGACCGGUUGACGGACCUGCAGGCGGCGCUGCAGGAGAAGCAGGUCAGCGCGGAUGCGUUGCAACAGCGUCUGGUUGAACUGGAGGAGGAGAAACGUGCUGCUGAGGCUCAGCUACGGGAGAGCCGGCGCCAUGCAGAGGAGCACGAGCGGACGACGAUGAAUGCGGCGGACAGAGCUGCCCGUGACGCUGAGCAAGCGCGCGUCGCUGCGCAGCAGGCCAUGGCUCAGCAGCACGCAACUCACAAGCAGGAGAUAGCUGCCCUGCACCGCGAGCUGGACGAACUACGUGAUGAGCUUGAGGUGGCACAGACUGUGGCGGCAACGGUGCCAUUGGAGGCACAGCGACACCAGCGCGACCUCGGUACAGUGCGCGACCGCUUAGCCGAGGCGCUGCGCAGUCAACAGGAGCUCCAGCAGCAGCUGAAGACAAGUCGCGCAGAGUUGGAGCGUCAGCGACUGCUUCUCAUGCGUGGCGGCAGCGGCAACGGCUCUGAUGCAGGCGAUGCCGGUGCGUUCGAGGGCGGCGGUGCCCCCGCAGACGCGCGCCUGAACGCUCUCCUCCACCGAAGCGAGGAGCUGGAGGAGAAGUUGCGCGAGGCCUCGACAGAGCGGAAUGCGCUGCAGCAGGAGCGGGACCGCCUUUCGAUGCAGGUGAAAAGUGCUGCGCGCGUGGCAGAGGUGAAGGAACAGGCGACGCGGCGGCAGGAGGCGGAGCUGCGCAGAGCGCGUUCGCAACUCGCCGCUGUCCGAGACGAUCUUGCCCAGCGUGUGCAGUCGAAUCACGCGCUGCAGCUCGAGAUGGACCACUUGCAGGAGCGCCUCGCGGACGUGACGAGCGCUUAUGAGGAACUGCAGGGCCGUCACGCGGCCACCGUGUUGCAGUCCGGCAUGCAGGAGCACGCCGAGGCGCUGCUGAUGGCCAAGGCGGUGACGAUCCCGCGCGCGCUCGAGGAAUACGUGGAGGGGGUUUUCUCCGCGUACCACGCGAUGCUGCAAGCUGCAAGCAAGGACCGUCGGCACAUCUACGAUCGCUGCGAUCUCAUAGAGAAGGCCGCCAGCGAGGCCAUGGCAGAGGCGGAAGCUCAGAACCACGCCUACGAAGCCGCCAUCGCCGACGCGCAGGAGGAGCAACAGCAGAUGAAGGAAAUCAUCGAAAGCCUUCAGCAGACCACGCAGAAGGCAUUGGAGGCGAAGAACGCCGCCGUGGCGGAUGCCGCUGCGGCCCGCGACGAGCUGGAGGCAACCCAGCGCCGAGCACGCGAGGACGUCUUCAACGCGCAGCGCGACCUUCAGAUGGCCGAGCUGCAGCACGCCGACACACUGCACUCACUGUCUCUUCUCCAGGACGAGGUGACGAACACGGCUGCCCUCAUCAAGAACCAGAAGAGCAAGUACGAGCGGCGGGAGGCGGAGCUGAUGGAGGAAGUGGCACUGCUGCAGGCGGAGCUGGAGACGCGCAAGUCGGCGGCGCGGCAGCUGCAGCAAGCCAACGAUGAGAAACGCACGGAGCUACAGGAUAUGGCCGAUGCGGCGGUGCAGGCGCGAGAUCAGGCGGUGCAUGAGUCGCAGGCGCUGCAAGCACAACUGGCGCGUGUGCUGCCGCGACUGGCGCAGCUCGAGGACGAGCAGGCGCAGCGCACAGCCGACCUCAUGGAUACGGCACAGCAGUUGUCUGCGCUGCACAAGAAGACGACCUCCACGGAGAAUGUGUCGCGCAAGCACAUCGAGGAGCUCAACCAAACCCUUCAGGAGCUCCUCCAGGCCCACGCGAUGCUGCAGCGCACCCACACCACUACCGAGGCCACAGCAGAUCGACUCAGGUCGCAGCUCGCGAGCGUGACGCAGGAGCUGGAGCGCGCGACCGCAACGGCCAGUCAACAAGAGGAGGAGCUGACGACUGUGAAGGCGCGCCUGCACGAGGUGGAGACCCAUACAAGCCGCGUGAUGGGAGAGGACCAGGCGCGGUUGCGAGACGGCGAGCUUCGCUUGCAGGGAUUGGAGCAGCGAAACGCGGCGCUGCAGCAGGAGUGCAAGACACUCCAAGAGUCCCUGCAGUCCCUCCGCAUCGAGCACGACAGCACCGUCGAUGCGCUGCAGCACAAGUCGGAGGCGUUUGCGGCGCAGGAGCAGCAGAUGAACCACCAGCUCCGGCUUUUGCGCGAACGCAUUGAGACGCUGGAGUCGGAGCGGCAGGAGCUGAUGUCAUCGGAGCAGGCCAUCACGGCUUCCCGUGACGCGUGCCAGAGGGAGAUGCUUGCCCUCGAGCAUCAGGUGGAGCAUCUGCAGCACCAUCUGGGGGCCUCCAAUGGACACAACGAGCGACUGAACCAGGAGAUAGUGCAGCUCAAGACAGACCACGCUGUAGAGGUGGACCGGCUACGGGAGGCCAUCACAGACGCGCAGAAGGAGCUUGCCAAGUGUCGCCAGCUCCUCGCCCAGGCGGAGGCGCACCAGGUGGAGCAGGAAAGCACCCACUACAGCCUCUCUACAGAGGUGAGCGCCGUCCGCGAGGAACUUAAAGCCGCACGUGCGCAGGCGGAGAGGGCCACGCAACAGCACCGAAAGGCGAAGGCGGAGCAGGAGGAGAUGGCGACGCUGUUGCAGUCGCAGAUGGCGCAGCUCCACGAAGAGCUCCGUGGCAAGCACGAGCAGCUGCGGAUGCUAGAAAACACGUCUGCGCAUCAACAGGACACUCUCAACAGGCUUAGGCAGGGCAUGGCGGAGGCGGAGGAGAGCCUCAAGCACACACGCCAGCAGCUGCUCAAUCAGCAAGAGGCUGCUGCUGCGGCAAAGGAACAUCACCGCCGCGACCGGUAUGAGCUGCAGACGAAGCUGAACGACGCCGAAGACGCCAUGGCGGAGAUGACGCGCAGUCAGGAGCAGUACCGUCAGCGCAUGACGAGCAAGGUGGAGCUAUACGAGGUGGCGGAGGAGGCGCUGCGGAGCGAAGUGACUGACUUGCGCACCGACGUCGCUCGACUGGAGGAGGAGCUGGCCGCGACGACGCACAGCAAGGCGGCCGCAGAGACGCACCAGUCGCGCCAGGCCCAGUCUAUCAAGGCCGCCGAGUCUGAGCUGCAGUUACUCCGCGCACAAACGGCGCACGACAUGACGGAGAUCGCAACUCUCAAGUUGCAGCUGCAGCAGCGCACCGCCGAGUUGGAGCGGUGCCGGCGCGAGGCUGCGGCUCAGCUGACGGGCGAGAGGCUUCGCUGGGAGGCGGAACACACGGCGGCCUGCGACGCGUUGAAGGAGGCGCUGCGGCAAGAGCAGCAGGCCAUCAAGGACGUGCGUGAGGCGCGAGAGCGCGCCUUGGAAUCACUAGAGUGCAAGCAGAGGGAUGCCGUGGCGCUGGAGGACGAGUGCCGUGCGAUGCGCGCGCAGGUUCGCCACCUGCGACGUUGCCUCGACGCGGCGCAGUACCAGCUCACUUCGCUGGAGGGGAUGGCCAAGGACAUGGCUGAAGACUUGGGCAUGACCCCAGAGGGCCUGCCCGGCCACGAAGAGGGUGCCUUCUUGGAUGCGGCUUCGCACACGCACGAUACGUCUGUUAACUCUACAGAGAGUUGCGCAACGGCCGCUGUAGCCGCCGCCGCGGCUUCUGGUGCCGCGGUGCAGUCUGUCAUGGACGAGCUGCAGCGUCGGCUCAGCAUCUUCACGUUUGUGGCCAACACCUUUGACUCGGAGGAUGACCAACUGGCGGAACUUCGAAAGGCGCUGGAGCAGCAGGAGGACGUGGUGCAGCUCUUGGCGGAGGCGUGCGCAGGAGAGAGCAUGAACGCGGCCAACAGUGCCACCCCUCUGCGUACUGGCAGAGCGGGAGCCAGUGACGUCACGCCUGGCUUGAACAGUACGCCCACCCCGCGCGGCCUGAGGGCUGCCGUCUCGUCUGGUGCCGAUGCUGGCGGAGCGAGUGCUUCGGCUGUGCCGCCUCCUGCGAUGCUCACCCAGGCACAGCGAGUGCUCGUGCAACAAAUUAGUCAAGCCAGUUCCACAUAUGUGCAUCGCGUCGAGGACCAUCUACGCACGGCGCAACAGAUGCUACGGUCUGUGAUGAUGGCUAUCGGCUCGCACGAAAUCGUGUCACCGCCGGCCAGCCGCCCCACCACGGCGGCCUUGUCGUCUAGGCAUAAGCUUCAGGUGGCGGCAACGGCUGCGGAGCUGCAUCGCCGAACCGCAACCCUCACCCGUGCGGUUGAGCGGAUGCUAGACUUAGUCGUGCAGGGUGGCGAUGGCCCAGCUGCAGCAGAGCGCUCGUCGACGCAGUCAUUUAGUGUCAGCCUCAUCCGAGAACAGCUGCAGGAGCUGCGCCGCCUCUUCUCCGAGGCGGAGCGGUAUGUUUUGCUUCCCUUCAACGAGCUUCUCUGCGUCCCUGAUUCGGUGGGAGUGGUGACCGCCGCAGCCGCGACGGCGGGCGAUGAGAGCAACGUGGACGGGCAGCCGCCACAUAAACGCUACUCGUACACACAACAGUCACCGCUGGCAAAGCUGUCAGGCCCCAGAGCCGCAUCUGUUACUGCAUCAGUUGCUCCGCAGCGACCAUCGUCAUCGACGACUCGCACCUCUGGUGAGACCUGCGUGCAGGAAAUUGCCGCCGCCACACUUUCGCCGAUCGCGCGCGACGAGGGUGCGCGUCAGUGGUUCUGAUCGCCCCCCACCUCGCGCACACAAGACGAGGUGCACUGAAUCUCUCUCUUUGCACCCCUCCGCCCCCCGGCUCAAAAUCUGCUCCCCUUUCCGCAUCGGCACCUCAUGCAUCUUGUGCGCGAGCUGCUGCUCCUCUCUCAG
rnacentral:misc_RNA from 1 species